rnacentral:lncRNA from 1 species
CCCUCUUAAUGAUGGAGAUACCAUAGUAUUGUGUUGUGUACUGAGUUGAAUAGGAUCCAAAAUGCAGCAGUCUGAUUGGUCCUAGAACAAUAGGAUUCAGAAUGCAGCAGUCUGAUUGGUCCUAGAACAAUGCAGCAAUAUGAUUGGUCUGCAGAAGCCACCCAAUCCAGCUCCAGGUGGAAUCCGCAACCUGAUUGGCCUAUAGGAGAAUCCUGGAAUUAGCCAAUCACAUGCGGCCCAUUGUGUAAAUAAUGUAUAUAAAGCAGAUAUUUGGGGAGAACAUUCAUUCCUCGCUACUAUGAGCUGAAUAAAGAGCAUGAAAUCCACACUCAACUCCGAGUAUAUUUCAUAUUGAUUAAACUCUUCCCUGUUUUCUCCCCCUCAAGCGUUAUUUACCAUCUUGGUUAUCAAAAGGAAGAGCUGGUUGGACAGUCUUGGUACCAUCUCCUGCAUCCUGAAGAUACUGGAAGAGCUGUAGAGAUUCACAGGACUCUGAUUUCAGUGCAUGAUUCUGGGAGACACAUUCGGCACACGGUAGUCCGUCUUCUCUGCAAGGACCUGAGCUGGAUUUGGGUGCGAGUUCUUGCGAUAAGGGAGAAUGGAAAGGGAGGAGAGCUGAUCACUUGCACCAACCACAUCCUCAGGGAGGAAGAAGCCCUCUAUCUCCGGAACCAAGACCCACAGCAUGGAGCUGUUUCCCCAGCUAUCCCAAAUCUUCAAUGCAAUUCUGGAGAAAUACAGCCGCAGACGACAGAGCUGAACGAAGGCACUUUCUUCC